UACGGAGGAUGCAAGCGUUAUCCGGAAUGAUUGGGCGUAAAGGGUCCGCAGGUGGCAGUGUAAGUCUGCUGUCAAAGAAUGAGGCUUAACCUCAUCAAGGCAGUGGAAACUACACAGCUAGAGUACGGUCGGGGUAGAAGGAAUUCCUGGUGUAGCGGUGAAAUGCGUAGAGAUCAGGAAGAACACCGGUGGCGAAAGCGGCAUCCUGGACCGGUAUUGACGCUGAGGCGCGAAAGCCAGGGGAUCAAACGGG
rnacentral:rRNA from 1 species